rnacentral:misc_RNA from 1 species
GAUGAAGAACGUAGCGAAAUGCGAUAAGUAAUGUGAAUUGCAGAAUUCAGUGAAUCAUCGAAUCUUUGAACGCACAUUGCGCCCUUUGGUAUUCCGAAGGGCAUGCCUGUUCGAGCGUCAUUUCACCACUCAAGCCUGGCUUGGUAUUGGGCGCCGCGGUCGAUCCGCGCGCCUCAAAGUCUCCGGCUGAGCUGUCCGUCUCUAAGCGUUGUGAUUUCAUUAAUCGCUUCGGAGUGCGGGCGGCCGCGGCCGUUAAAUCUUUCACAAGGUUGACCUCGGAUCAGGUAGGGAUACCCGCUGAACUUAAGCAUAUCAAUAAGCGGAG